UAUCCUCAUCUUCUUCAGCUGACAGAAAAGAAAAUAAUAUCAAUGAAGUAGUGCCAACCCAAGAUCAACAUUCCCCCAUUCCAAGGUUCACUCAGCUUGCCACUACCAUUUGCUGUUGUUGUUUUGAAAACUGAACCAGUCAUCAUCAAACCAAAACCUUUCCAGAUUAUCAAUGCCUUACAAGAUGCUUCUUGGACAGGGAUGGUUCUCACCUCGAGGAAAUAUGCCUGGAUCCAUGAAGGUGGCCAUACUGAAGUUGGCCAGUACAAAGAGAAAAACCACAGCAUUGUAAAUGGGUAUGAAUGGAGAGAUAUAGAAGCUGAGCCCAGGGCACCUGCACAAACAAAGAAAAGGUGUAAAGGGAGAGUGAGAGAGAGCUGUCAUCCUUACAAUAGAGCAAUCUGCCAGCAUAUCUGGAUGCUGAUUAACAAUGGCUGUUAGCCAUUAUGGUGGAUUUUUAACAAGAACAGUAUGUUGUUGGCUUAUUAAUUUGUUAGUAAAUCCCCCAAACAUGAUGGAAUGGAGUGUGUGCAUUUAU